rnacentral:snRNA from 22 species
AUACUUACCUUCUUGGAAACAUGGCGCUCAUGAAUGCCGGUGUUUACAGUACGAAACCUCCAUUGCACAUCGGGGCGUUGAGAACUGUCAGCUAUCCUUCGGGGUCGCUGCCGGGGGAAUUUUUGAUAGCACCCUCCUACUCGGGAGACA